AUUGAACGCUGGCGGCAGGCCUAACACAUGCAAGUCGAGCGAUCGGCGGACGGGUGAGUAAUGUAUGGGGACUGCCCGCUAGAGGGGGAUACCUACUGGAAACGGUGGCUAAUACCGCAUACUAUCGGAUAACCUAUAUGGGCUUAGCUAGUAGGUGGGGUAAAGGCUCACCUAGGCGACGAUGUCUAGCUGGUCUGAGAGGAUGAUCAGCCACACUGGGACUGGGACACGGCCCAGACUCCUACGGAGGCAGCAGUGGUGAAUAGUGCACAAUGGGCGCAAGACUGAAGCAGCCAUGCAGAGUGUAUGAAGAAGGCCUUAGGGUUGUAAAGUACUUGCAGCGGGGAGGCGUUACCCGCAGAAGAAGCACCUGAUAACUCCGUGCAAGCAGCCGCGGUAAUAC
rnacentral:rRNA from 1 species